rnacentral:lncRNA from 1 species
AGUUUAGUUUAUUUGGUGCCAUGUGUUAGCUUGCGAGUGACCACAUAAUAAAAUUUUCUUUGUUGCUAAUAGCUCUCCUAUAUAUAUCCAAUUGCUAAACCACAAAAUAUUGAAUAUCCAAUAAAAAAACCACAAAGUAGUAAAGUGAAAAAGUUAAAUUACAAGGGUUCAAAUUAAAAUUAGCAUAAAAGUUUAACAAAUAUUCUAAAAUGAAGUCUUUCAAGAUUUUCAAAUCUUAAAGAAAAUUAAGAAUGAAAUGCAAAAAUAAUACUUUUUGAAUUUUAAAUUAAAUCAUCUAGUUACAUAGAAAAUAAAAAAUAAAAUUUUUACACUUCAUGCUUUUUUUUAAAGAACGACUUUUAUUAAUCAUCAAAACAAUACAUCAUAGGUUGGAGGCAAGGUCUCCCAUACAUACAAACUGGAAAACGAAUGCGCUUCCUUCGUGAGUCAUUGUGCCACUGCAUUUCAAAGAUGUACGGUCUUGAAGUUAACAUCUUUCUACAGUCUUCAACAAUAAACCCAAACUCAGAGUUGAUUGGGUAUAGGGCUAUGAUAAUGAUGGUUACAUUAUGGGCGUCCAUCUCUAAUAUACCAGGUCUGUUGAGAUUUCUACAACCCAACAACUCGGCUAGAUAUGGUGAUUGACAUGCCGAUAUCCUUUCAAUUAAAGCCUUUAUUACCUUCCCUGUUGAGUCCCGAAAAAGAGCCCCAUAACUUGCUUCUGAGUUAUGUUCGUAGAUCGCCCCAUCCACAUUACAUUUCCAGGUGCCAGCAGCAGGAGCUUGCCAUACUGAACCUUUUGGCAACUGCUCUUGGCUUUUAUUACCCCUUGCUCUGACCCCUUUCGCCUGUCUCUACUCAUUUAAUUGUUUCUGCAUUAACCAGAUUGACGACCAAUCAACAAAUAAUUUCCCAUUCGAGGUGAAAUCAUUACGCUCUAGCCUAAUUCGCCGUAAGAAGCACAAUAUCUCUUUAUUCAUUUGUUUCGAUUGGAUCCUGGUUUGGGACACAAGCCAUCCAGCCAACACGUCUGUUCAGCCUACAAUUGGAUACCAAAAUUUUCCAAUAUUUAAUUACUUUUUCGCACUCGAAUAAGGUAUGUUGGAUGGUCUCCUCCUUCCCACAACACGGGCAUGAACUCUCAGUUGUAAUUCCUUUUACUCUCAGUCGAGCUUUAAUUGACAAAGUGUCAGUUAACAAUCUCCAAGCAAAGUUCUGCACUUUCAGCGGGCUUUAGAUUUCUAUAAUAAUCUCCAGACAUUAUACUGUUCGACUGAGUGAUUAGAGUGCAGCCCCCUCAGACAUUGAUAUGCAGAUUUGACUGUAUACUGACCAUCUUUGGAGAAACCCCAAAUGCAUUUGUCUUCUCUUAUAUUCAGAUUUAGCUAGAUACUUCGGAUAAGUGCUGUUUCAUCCUCCCCAAACAACCCGUUGAGCAUGUUGGCAUCCCAGUUUGAUCGUCCCUCGUCCAUUAUAUCACAGACUAACAGAUCCUCAAGCCCUUCAAUACAAACACUUUGAACAUAAAAAUCUUGCUCCCUGGGUAUCCACGAGUCUUUCCAUACUUUCACUUUCUUACCUGAUCCAACAACCCAUCUUAAGCCACUGCUCAAUAGAUCCUUAGCCAUGAACAAACUCCUUUAAGUGAAACUAGGGUUGGAAC